AUGGAUCAUCUAGGGAGAACAAGGCUUGUGACUUGGGAAGAAGGUUGCAGGACCAUGGCUGAUCCUGGGAUGAGAAGAGGGAUCCACUGCCCCCUGAGUCUCGUCUGCUCCCUGCUCAUUAUGGGAAUGUGCUGUGUGUCUCCUUUGUUCUGUCACAGCCAGACAGACCUGCUGGCUCUUAACCAAGCUGAUCCUCAGUGCUGGGAGUCCUCCUCAAUGCUCCUCUUGGAAAUGCAGAAGCCUCGUGUUUCUAACACUGUCUCUGGCUUUUGGGACUUUAUGAUCUACCUGAAGUCUUCUGAGAACUUGAAGCAUGGGGCACUGUUUUGGGAUCUGGCCCAACUCUUCUGGGACAUCUAUGUAGACUGUGUCCUUUCCAGGAACCAUGGCUUAGGAAGGAGGGAAUUGGCUGGAGAGGGAAAGAAAGAAGAGAAAAGCUCAACAGUGAUGCAUUCGGGGAUUACACAAGGUGCAUAUUCUCAGCCCCUAAGAAGCCCUUUCUUAAAGAAGAAAGAGUUGAUUGAAGAUUUGAUAAGCUUGCACAUGCGCAGGCGGGGCCCUAGGUUCACUGGAAAAGUGAAGCUGCAAGUAAAGAGAAAAUAAAGCUACCUUCAAAGCCAACUCGAGCCUUGGAAUUAAAAAAAAAGUAUUUUCCUAUCAAUCAUUUAUGUAUUUUAAGUGAAGUAAAAGUCCACAGGCGAAUACCUUGUCAAGUUCUCUAAGAGUGCUUGUUUUCAGUUUCCUGAUUGUUAACCUGUCUCUUCAUACCCUGAUUCCUACCUGACUACCCCACUGUCUACAGUAACUAGAGAACUUCCAAAGAUGCCUUGGGGAUGAGGGCUUUGGCUCUUUAGAGUUAUUUGAUAAUUUGCCUUGGGAGGUCUGGCAUUGCUGCUGAACUGAGGGGCCACACAUUUAGCUUGCAUAAGCUACAUGCGUCACAAGUCAUUAGCGACAGCAUUGCUUAUGAAAUUGGUGUGGAAGGACUAUAUGCAUGGGUGGUAUUACUGAUGAUCUGUGAUUCUCAACCUUGUCUGAGAGAAUAGUUUUGAAUAUGGAAUAAAGAAGAAACCAUGGGGAAUAAAUAAAACAUUCACCUAAUGAAAACAAAAUUAAUAAAAGCCUGGGCUCCCAACUGGCAUUAUUGGAUUCUCUUUAGUUAAAUCUUUAAUAUUAGCACAAACCAUGUCCAAACUCUAAUAAGAUAGCAUAAUUAUCUUUCAAUUAUGUAUUUUCUGUUUGGUUAAAUAUUAAAGCACCAUAAGUGGUUAUAAUUUGCACUGAAAAGCAAAAUAAAAUGAAAGAGAAUGUGAUACAAGAAGAACCUGUCAGUAUUUUUUUUUCCCUGAAAAAUGAUCGGCCUGAAUGAGGUCUGUCACAGUGAAGCCCCAUUAACAACUGCAUGUGAGCUCUAGACAUGCCACUAUUUUUUUUACCUCAAAAUUAUUCAUGUAUUUCUCUUAAAACACAUUCUUGACAAAGAUUUUAGAUUUCAGAU
rnacentral:lncRNA from 1 species